rnacentral:rRNA from 1 species
UCGAGAAUCUUCGGCAAUGGGCGCAAGCCUGACCGAGCGACGCCGCGUGGAGGACGAAGGCCUUCGGGUUGUAAACUCCUGUCGAGGGGGAGGAAGGGGCAACCUUGACCGAUCCCUGGAGGAAGCACGGGCUAAGUUCGUGCCAGCAGCCGCGGUAAGACGAACCGUGCGAACGUUAUUCGGAAUCACUGGGCUUAAAGCGCGUGUAGGCGGGUCGGCGCGUCGGCCGCUGAAAUCCCCCGGCUCAACCGGGGAACGGGCGCCGAUACGGCCGGCCUGGAGGGGGGUAGGGGGAGCUGGAACUUCCGGUGGAGCGGUGAAAUGCGUUGAGAUCGGAAGGAACGCCCGUGGCGAAAGCGAGCUCCUGGACCCUUACUGACGCUGAGACGCGAAAGCCAGGGGAGCGAACGGGAUUAGAUACCCCCGUAGUCC